ACCCAGACUCCUACGGGAGGCAGCAGUGGGGAAUAUUGCACAAUGGGGGAAACCCUGAUGCAGCGACGCCGCGUGAGUGAAGAAGUAUUUCGGUAUGUAAAGCUCUAUCAGCAGGGAAGAAAAUGACGGUACCUGAUUAAGAAGCCCCGGCUAACUACGUGCCAGCAGCCGCGGUAAUACGUAGGGGGCAAGCGUUAUCCGGAUUUAUUGGGUUUAAAGGGUGCGCAGGCGGAGGUGCAAGUCAGUGGUCAAAUUGCGGGGCUCAACCCCGUACUGCCGUUGAAACUGGCAGUCUCGAGUUGGAGAGAAGUAUGCGGAAUGCGCGGUGUAGCGGUGAAAUGCAUAGAUAUCGCGCAGAACUCCGAUUGCGAAGGCAGCAUGCCGGCUCCACACUGACGCUGAGGCACGAAAGCGUGGGUAUCGAACAGGAUUAGAUACCCUAGUAAA
rnacentral:rRNA from 1 species